rnacentral:sRNA from 19 species
AUUGAAUGGGAAUAGAUUACAAAUAUAAUUUGAAUGGAGAAUCCUAAUUUAACUGCGUUUCUAGUUGUUAUAAAUGUUGUAAAUCUAUUUAAUUCAAUUAGGUUCCCCACCAAAAACCCCACCAAAAUACUUCGGUGGAGUCUUUUUA